CAGCAGAUCAGCAGUUUGUGAAGCACUGGGACCAGUAACAUGUGCCAUGUUGCUCUGUUUGAGCAUUGAUUUGCUGACAUUUUAUUAUUUUAUUAACCUUUAUUUAACCAGGAAGAUGAAGCUGACAUGUGAUUGACAAAUGAAAUGAACACUGAAAUAUUUGUGUUACACCCUGAACAAGUAUACCUCAUAAAGUGGCCAGUGAAUGUAUAUAAGCAGUUGGACCAAUUUCAGUUCAUAGUAAUAUUCAGAAAAGAUGCAAAAGAAGAAGAAGAAGACAAAAGAAAAGAGCACAGUGACAAUAUUUAAAGCUCUGUGGUUAUAAAACUGGGGUUUCAUUACUUCACUCAGAGUUUCAGUAGACGUAAACUGUGUUUGAUUUGUGUUUUGAUUUCCAGGAAAUGAAAGUAAAUGAUUUUACUGACAAAUGCAUCUUUUCAAUGAUUUAGACACAAACGAGGCCCACACUUCAGCAGACAAAUCUUUUUCCGUUUAUCUGCCCGGUGUUGUGAUCAUCUUUAUAACUGGAGUUAUCGUGGGAUUUAUCUACUGGAGGAAAAGUAAUGGGUCAGGAACAUCUGGAGUGUCUGUACCUGAAAAUCCCAACGGUUUGGAUGACGAUGAGCCAGAUCAGCCCUAUACAAACCUUCAGCAGCCAUCGAGUGAUUCCUACCAGACUAUCAUCUCAGUGAACCAUCAACACGACAACAAGACACG